rnacentral:rRNA from 1 species
GACGGAGGAUGCAAGUGUUAUCCGGAAUCACUGGGCGUAAAGCGUCUGUAGGUGGUUCGAAAAGUCCACUGUUAAAAAUUAAAGCUUAACUUCAAAGAUGCCGUGGAAACUUUCAAACUAGAGUGUGGUAGGGGUAGAGGGAAUUUCCAGUGGAGCGGUGAAAUGCGUAGAGAUCGGAAAGAACACCAACGGCGAAAGCACUCUGCUGGGCCGACACUGACACUGAGAGACGAAAGCUAGGGGAGCGAAUGGG